rfam:Streptomyces cyaneogriseus subsp. noncyanogenus strain NMWT 1, complete genome.
CUUCAACGACCCCAGCCACAACGGCUCCCGCUCCGACGAACGCUCCCCAUACGUCGCCAGCAACGCCUGCGCCUC